AAGAGAAAGGCAUGGGCUUGGAAGAUUCCAGUGGACAUAUUUUCCAGUUGAAAAUUUUCAAUCGGAAAUUUAAAAAAUUCUCUCUGUAGCUCAGGACCCAUGCUGCCAGACAAGACCUCCUCCUCAUCACUUUUUUGGGUUGAACUAACAUUUAACAGACUAAGGGUUCAACUUAAGCUCACUCCACCCAUCUUUAAUGGAUGUCUACUCUCAGCCAGGCCCGGUGCUCACUCAUAGACUAGUGCUAAAGUUGGCUCUGUGAGCAGCUCGGCAGGGGGAGGUCUUCUGGAUGCCCACUCCUCCUCCGCUCCUCUGCAAUGCAAACUCCCUACUGCCUUGAGAGCAGGCGAGGGUGGGGCCUUGGAAACAGGGGGACAGAUGGGCAGUGGCUCUGUCUGGUCAAAGAGGAACCAGGCAGGAAAGAUCUCAACAAGACAAUAGCCUCCAAGAAAUGAAUGCAAGCAGCGGUGUGGAGACCUAGGGGAGACUGGAUCCAUGCUUCACGUAGUAUGAAGACAGGUUUUGGACCAGGAAGCAAUAACGAAGACCUGGAUGAGGGAAAGGUCUGGGAAGGACAUUAAAAAUAAGAAGCCAUGGGACUUCCCUGGUAGUCCCGUGGCUAAGACUCUGCAUUCCCACUGCAGGGGGUCCAGGCUUGAUCCCUGGUCAGGGAACUAGAUCCCACAUGAGGCAAUGAAGAUGAAAGAUCCCGUGUGCCCCCACCAAGACCUGGCGCAACCAAAAAAAAAAAAUAAAUAAAUAAAGCCUGCUGAGGACAGCACGUGGAGGCGAAGAGAGUGAAGGCUCCCCUUACCAUCCAACUGAGUGCUUUUUCUUCAAAUCAUGCUCUGUUAUCAACAUCGUCAGCCCUGCUUUCUUUUGUUCAUCUUUUCCUGACUAUCAUGCCUUUCAGCUGUAACCCCCCAGGGAUACCUGGACUCAGGAGCAUUCUUCCAGGGGAGCAGCGGAGCCCAGCGGUUACCACAGGCUGCUGGGCUGGAGGGUCUGCUGACAGCCUGCCAAUACUCAGCAGGGCACGCGGUGCACAGCUGGUGCUCUCUCGCCUGUUCCCAGCCCAACGGAAAAAAAAAAAAGAAUUGCAAGCAAAAGGAAAGAGAUUUUUUCAAUAAAGAUAUUACAGUCAUUUGCUGCAAUCACUGUUUACGAACGGGGAAGCAGGCUCAGAAGGUUGGUAAGUCAGUUGGCUGAAAUCACACACCAGCACCAGAAGGAGGAUUUGAACUCAGGCCUGUCUGAUGUCACAGCUCCUGUCCUUGAUUCCAACACCGUAUGGCCCGCCCUGGUGGUCAUGGAAAGAUCUGGUCCUUGGUCCAGCAUUGAAAAUGGAAACAUGAGUCACCGGCCAUCCCCGAGGACGGAUGGGGAGUGAGAGGUGCUCAGCAAUGGGCCAGAAUGUUCUGCCAGAUGCUGAGGACACACUGCCAGCAGCUCUGUCUCCUUCAUGCCGCCGAGGAAAGGGAGGAGGGGCGCCUGGAGGAACGCGGGUCUCAAGCCAGCCGAGCGCAGCCUGGAGCGGGCUACGACCUGGUGAAUAGCGUCAAGCCCAUCUGGCCUCUGGAAUGCUGAGGCCCCGGGGGACAGGCCUGGGGUUUUGCUGCUCCUCGGGGCAGGCUCCUCCUCCGAAAUAACUCAGGCUGCUGGGUGGAGAAAAAUCUCAGGCUUUCUAGACUCUCCUGGCCCAACUCAUCUGGUGACCUAUAAAGUGGGCAUUCUUUGCCCACUGAUGGAGAAUGGGUUUCUAUAGACACAGGAUCAGAAGAAGCAAGGCACGAGAGUCAGACGGCUCUGGAACCGAUUCCUGGCUGGACGACCCUGGCCAGUACCUUGGUUUCCGCACCCUUGCAGGAGAGUCAUGUUCGGCAGGGUCUGCAGGAGCAACAGUCUGCAGAAAGCCUGGAGGCUGCUGGCCACCCCAUCAAAGCUCCUGACCCGCCUGAGUCAGUGAACAAGUGAGCAAGCUUGCGUGGUGUCCAAACAGCCACCUCAGAACGGGGGGCCACCACCUUGCUGGCUGGUCUCCACAGAGGCCUUGUGGCCGACCUUCCUUUUCUGGUUCCAGUUUCCACUUUGCCCCCAAAGAGCCCCAAGUCCUGUCUGGCUUCUUUCCGGGGCCAAGGUGAAGGUGAAGAGUAAGGAACAGCACAGCCUUUGCCUUUGUGCGCUUGAUGGGGCCCCCCCUGACUCAUUUGUGAUGCAUGGGACUCAUUUGCGAUUCUACCUGGGAAAGUUUGGGACUGGCCAGUGUGGUUUGGUGGGAUCUGUGAUUCAUUCCGGUCCCGAAGGGAACAAAAGCCCAGGUCCUAACAAGGUCCCCUCUGCCCGGGUCAGCCUGGUCCUUUGGUGGGGGGACGAGUCACACACACACCCUUCAGGACUGUUCCUAUUUUCACUUAGCCUGGGCCUUCAGAAAUCAAACAGCCAGUGCCUCUUUUCUUGACUUCUGGAGGGGUAAGGUGAGUAUACAAAGGGAGGACUGACAAGAGGAACUAAGCUGCCGUUGGUUCCAGGGCAGCCACUGAAAGCAAUUACCUCUCGGGGAGGAGCAUCUGUAGGUGCAGCCUUGCCCUUCCUCACCGCCUCCUUCUCUGCCUGGCUGGAGGCAGGGCCCGCAGCCUCCACCACCAGACUCUCUCCCUCAAAGUGAAGAAACAACCCGCCCUCUACAGUCUGCUGGAAUUUUCAAGUAUCCUGGAUGAUACAAUUUGCUGAGGACACUGGUCCCCGGUUCCCUGCUUAGAUAAAUCACAAGAUCUCCAUUUCCCAUGAAAUGAAGAUUGUCACAUUGAGCUGAUAAAGUAGUCAUGGACCAAAAAGAAGAUGAUGAAUGUGAAACAUGGUGCGUGUGCCCUGGUGGAAUAAAUGACCCCCCCCCCUUCCCCCCUCCCCAAUUUCAAUGAGGAACCAGGAAGUGGGUGUGAUGUGAGCUUCUCCUGUGACUUGUGUCUUUGUUCCACCCUAGGGCUCUGCUUGUCUGGAGGUCAGACCUCCUGCCCGAGGCU